rnacentral:rRNA from 1 species
GGUGUAGGCGGCCUUUCAAGUCGGAUGUGAAAUCUCCCGGCUUAACUGGGAGAGGUCAUUCGAUACUGAUAGGCUGGAGUGCAGCAGAGGGAAGCGGAACUCCCGGUGUAGUGGUGAAAUGCGUAGAUAUCGGGAAGAACACCAGUGGCGAAAGCGGCUUUCUGGGCUGUUACUGACGCUGAGAUCCGAAGGCGUGGGGAGCAAACAGGAUUAGAUACCCUGGUAGUCCACGCAGUAAACUAUGGAUACUAGGUAUAGGGAGUAUCGACCCUCUCUGUGCCGAAGCUAACGCUUUAAGUAUCCCGCCUGGGGACUACGGUCGCAAGACUAAA